rnacentral:snRNA from 1 species
AUUGCCUCUUGGCCUUUUGGCUAAGAUCAAGUGUAGUAUCUGUUCUUAUCUUAGAUUACUUAUUUAAGCUCUGUUUUUCUGAUGUGAGAAUUCACCACUA